rnacentral:rRNA from 1 species
CCUACGGGAGGCAGCAGUGGGGAAUAUUGCACAAUGGGCGGAACCCUGAUGCAGCGACGCCGCGUGCGGGAAGAAGGCCCUCGGCGCGUUAAGCCCUUUCAGCAGGGAAGUAAAUGCCGGUACCUGAGGAAGAAGCCCCGACUAACUACGUGCCAGCAGCCGCGGUACUACGUAGGGGGCAAGCGUUAUACGGAUUUACUGGGUGUAAAGGGGGCGCAGGCGGCGGUGACAGGCAGGAGGGAAAGCCCGGAGCCCAACCCCGGGACUGCUGUUGGAACUGGGUGGCGUGAGUGCAGGAGGGGCAGGCGGAAUUCGUGGUGUAGCGGUGAAAUGCGUAGAUAUCAGGAGGAACCCCGGUGGCGAAGGCGGCCUGCUGGACUGCAACUGACGUUGAGGCUCGAAAGCGUGGGGAGCAAACAGGAUUAGAUACCCUUGUAGUC